rnacentral:lncRNA from 1 species
UGGAAUCUGGCCGCCCCGGGAUCAUCACCUGUGCCCUGCCCACGGCCUCUGAGUGGUGCACACCCCCCACCUCUCCUGGAUGGGGGCCGCCCUCCGCUCCCUGCGGUCCAGGCCCCCCACCUCCUCAGUGCUGACCUUCACCCCGGGGCCCAGGGACCACGGCACAGACCUCACAUGUCGAGUGGCCUUCCCCGGAGCUGGAGCCGGCGUGAGCUUCCAGAGCACCAUCAGGCUGAACGUGUCAUGUGAGUGCUGGGCCACGAUGGGGGGCCCUGAGGGUGGUGGGGCCGUCGGGGGGAGGGGUUGGGGGUAAGGGGGGGAGGCCCGAGGUGGGACACUCAGGGACUGUCUGUGGAGGGCAUGCUGGGGUCAAGAAGAAGAGGCUGGAGUUCCCACGGUGGCGCAAUGGGAUCUGUGGUGUCUCUGCAAUACUAGGACACAGGUUCCAUCCCCGGCCUGGCACGUGGGUGAAGGGAUCCUGCACUGGCGCAGCUGUGCCAAAGGUCGAAGCUGCAGCUUGGAUCUGAUCUCUGGUCCGGGAACUCCACAGCCUCGGGGCAGCAAAAAAAGAAGAAAAAGAGACCACACAGACCGCAUCAUCUUGCCUGUGACCACUCCAGCGUCCUGCAGGAGGCCGAUUCUUUCUUUCUGUUCCAGAUGCUCCAGAGAAUCUGACCGUCCACGUCUUCCGGGGAAAGAGCACAGGCUGAGCUGGACCCGGGGGAACCUGACCCUGAGCCCCUCCCAGCCCCUGGAUCCCGGGGUCCUGGAGCUGCCCCGCAUGGUCUUGGGGGACGGAGGGGAGUUCACCUGCUGAGCUCAGCACCGGAGCGUCUCGUACCAUGUCUCCUUGAACCUAGUCAUGCAGGGUGAGUAUAAGCAGGGAUGCCCGGGGAGUUCCCGCGGUGGCUCAGCCGGUUAAGAACCUGACUAGUAUCCAUGAGGAUGUGGGCUCAAUCCCUGGCCCCAUUCAGUGAGCUGUGGUGUAGGUUGCAGACAGAGUUCAUCUGGUAUGGCUGGGGCUGGGGCUGGGGCUGGGGCUGGCAGCUGCAGCUUCGAGUCAACCCCCAGCCUGGGAACUUCCAUUUGCCACACCUGUGACCCUAAAAAAUUUUUUAAAAAUUGAAUGAAUAAAUAAAUAAAAGACUGACA